CAUAUACUCCCUCCGUCCGGAAAUACUUGUCCUAGAAAUACAUGUAUCUAGACUUAUUUUAGUUAUAAAUACAUUCAUUUUAAUUAUUUCUAGGACAAGUAUUUCCGGACGGAGGGAGUAUAAA
rnacentral:pre_miRNA from 1 species